UACGAAGGGGGCUAGCGUUGUUCGGAAUUACUGGGCGUAAAGCGCACGUAGGCGGAUUGUUAAGUCAGAGGUGAAAUCCCGGAGCUCAACUUCGGAACUGCCUUUGAUACUGGCAAUCUAGAGUCCGGAAGAGGUUAGUGGAAUUCCCAGUGUAGAGGUGAAAUUCGUAGAUAUUGGGAAGAACACCAGUGGCGAAGGCGGCUAACUGGUCCGGUACUGACGCUGAGGUGCGAAAGCGUGGGGAGCAAACAGG
rnacentral:rRNA from 3 species